rnacentral:lncRNA from 1 species
AGCGACCCUCCCAGCUCAGCCUCCCAAGUAGAUGGGACUACAGUGAAAGCACAUGUAUAUUACAGUGCACAUCUAUCGGCAUCUUCCAUGAGGUCAGGAUAUUUCUGAAGCCCGUCUGGUUGUACCACUGCAAGAGCCUGGGAGUACAACACAGUGCAUUUUCCUAGAGGGCCAACUUACUUAGUGAUGUGAGUACUAUGGUUCCUGGAAAGUCCUUCUACCUCCGGUUCCAGGGAAGAAACAACUGACCUGUGCUAUGACAAUGUUUUCCAUCACCAUGUGUUUUCAAUUACCAGAUGUUUCCAUUUCCACAGUGAUGGUUCAGGGCUCGUGACCUGACAAGGAAAUCUACGGACAAUCACUAGCAUCUGGUUGCUGAUUACAGAAACUCUCAGUCAAAUUGGCUAAAAUAAUAAGGACGUUUGUUUUCUCUUACAAUAUGAAGUCUAAAGGUAGAGCAAUCCCAGCCAUACCAUGGUAAGGGCUCCAGGACUCAGCUUUGCCUUCUCCACAGGUUGAUGUUGUCCUCAGGAUGAUUUUCCUUGUGAUCACAAGAAGGCUGCUGGCAGCAGCUAGGGUGACAUACUUCCUUUCUCAUCCCACGUGAAAGAGAGAGGGAGCCUCCUGCCCUUUGAUAUAACUGUGCUAAUUUAGGACAUAUGCUCAACCUGAGCCAACCACAGACCAAGGGAAAAUCUUUCCUGAGUAGCUUAUGCCUUAAUUCCUGACUUAAUCAUUAUAGUAAGAGGAAUAAAACAGUAAGAUUGGAGUACACCAGUCAGGAUCCUGGAGAUGGAACGAGUAUCCAAAAUGGGCAGUGUUCUCUCAGAAAGGCAGAAGUUAGAGGUGGAGAAAUGAAUGUUAAUGCAAAAAGAUGUUAAAAUCUAUGUGUUAACUAAGACAGCAAUACUAUCAGUGAGUUGUAAGAGAUUACUUGGCAGAAAUUUCAAAGUAGGUGGCAGAGAUGGCAGAGAACUGAUUAGAUGAAUCAAUUAUAUUAAGUACAUAAAAUGGUAGACAGAGUAGUAAUUGAGAGAGGAUUUGGUAUGAAAGGAUUUUAAAGAAAGAGAUGCUGGUGUGCUGUGAGUCUCAAGCUCCUACCCUAAGCGGGUUGAGUGUCAAAUCUUAGCAGAAGCUGAGUAAGUAAGGCUGCGUUGGAAUCACUUGGAUAGUGUGCUGUUUCCUUUGCAGUUAGAGAAUCAGUGUGGAUGUGACUUGACUUUCACCCUGGAAAAUCUAGAGGCUGGAGGUGGGCUGGCAUGCUGUUUUGGAGGCAGAGUGAAGGAGGAUUGCUGCUAUAAUGGGUUGGAUAUGUAUUCACACAGUUUUGGGAACAAGGAAUGUGUGAAUGUUUCCUGUGGCCUGGAUGUGGGUGGUAGAUAUGCAAUAGAGAGGCGCUAUGGAAAUCAUCUUAGAUCCUUUCCAUUACAUACAUCAGAGGAACAAUGACCCUCACAAAAAUGAAACUGAAGUGGGUCCCCCAUUCCCUAGAGCUUGAAGAGGCAUGAAGUGCAGGAAUGGUGUGCAUUUGCCCAGAUCAGAGAAACUGCAGGUGAAAAACCACCGUGAUAUUCAGUUCUCUAAAGAAACCCCAAAGUGAGUCAACUUUAAACAUCUGCCAGACCCAGCAAGUGUGAAGCCAUCUUACAAUAUUACCAGUCAAAUGAGGACUCUCCUAUCCUCUUUCCUUUCUAAGCUCCUUGAUCACCAGUCCCAGAGGGGUCAAUAGCUGGAACGCAAGCUAGAGAAAGAAGAACAGAGAAGAGAAGAAGAACCAGCUUCUUUAAUCUCUGCAAGUGGCCAGCCUAUAGCAGGCUCUAAUUUAGUUGUGGGAGGGGAGAAGAUUUUAAAUUUAAUCAAGUUUAGAAUUGUAAUUAUUAUCUGGGACCAAAGAUUUAAAUGAUUGAAUUGACGCUGUGUUUACAUCCUAAAGUGACUUUUAAACUUUUUUAUUAGUUACAAGAGACCUAAAAUCAUGAACGAUCUGGGAUUUUUCAUCCUGGAGCCACUUUACCUUGGCCAUGAUCUGCGUAAGAAAAAGGGAUACUUUGCACCAUGUCUGUCAAUAACCAGGGAACUAAUGACUAGACCCUGAGACCUCUGCUACAGAUGCUCAGAAAAACAAGUGUCCUGACUACUGUGCUUGCACAAAGCAGCAGCAGCAGCAGGAGCAGCAGCAGUGUGACCUCUUAUGCAUGAUGUUCACUUCCUCCCAAAUCUGGCAUGGGGCUAUCUGCCUGACAGAAUUGAGAUCAGGUGCAGAACCAGAGCUGAAGGGAGAUUGAGGAUGUAGUCUUGCCUUUCUAUUCUCAGGUAUGCAGCAUGCACAGCCAUGCAAGGAGUUGGCACGGAAUCAAGGCAACCAGCCUGCAGUGUCUGACAGAGUGCUCACACCGCACACCUGGCAAUCUAUGUCCGGGGUAGUUUCACCACAUAAAUGUGUUUACUCAAGAGAAAAUUUAUAAGAAAUUGUCCACUUCAUGGCCUCACUAGACCUGGAAGCUGACUACUCACUGCCAUCCGGGUGUGACCCCCUCACUGUCUCCUGCUAAGUGCCAGCUGUUCCCUAGACCCACUGUUUCCUUAAACAACGAAGCUUCUCUUCACAGGUCUAAUCAGAGAGCAUUCAUACCUUAUCCAAUUGAUAUGGUUUGGCUGUGUCCCCACCCAAAUCUCAUCUUGAAUUGUAAUCCCCAUAAUCCCCAUUUGUUGAGGGAGGGAGGUGAUUGGAUCAUGGGGUUGGUUCCUUUAUGCUGUUUUUGUGAUAGUGAGUGAGUGAGUUCUCAUGAGAUCUGAUGGUUUUAAAAGUGUCUAGCAUUUCCCCUGCUCGCAGUUCUCUCUCCUGCCACCUUGUGAAGAAGGUGCCUGCUUCCCCUUCACCUUCUGCCAUGAUUAUGUUUCCUGAAGCCUCCUCAGCCAUGCGGAACUGUGAGUCAAUUAAACUUAUUUCUUUUAUGAAUCACCUAGUCUUGGAUAGUAUCUUUAUAGCAGUGGGAGAAUGGACUAAUACACCCAUUCUCUGGGGCCCAGCUGAAGAGCUGCACCCUCCAGGAGCCUUUCCUUAGGCUUUCCACCUGGCUCCUUUGAGCACCUGCUUUUCUGUGAUUUCACAGCAUGUCCUGCCCAGAACAUCAUUUUUUUUUACACUGAAUUGUGUAAACUUUGCUUUGUUUGCUCAUUACUUCAUUCAUUCAUUUAACAAACAUGUAAGGACCCAUUCAAGGUGCUUUGCCGGGUGCUAGGUGGUGAACAAAAUAGGCAUGGUCCCUGUCCUAUUAAAGUUUACAGACUUGUAUGGAGGAGACAGACAUUGAACAAGUAAGCAAAUAUGUAAAUAUAAAAUCCAGAUUGCAAUAAGAGUUAUGAAGGAAAAUUACAAAGUGCUUUGAGAGAGUAAAUCAAGGGUCUGUCUUAAGUUGGGUGGUCGGAGGAGUUGGCCCCUAGGAGGUAAUAUUUAAAACAGGAAGUGUAAGUAGGGGUUAGAUACAUGAGCAGUAGGAGGAAAAACAUUCCAGGCAGAAGGAAUUAUAUGUUUAAAGACCUUGAGUCAGGGGAGAGAGCAAAGCAUUUUGGGAAUUAAAAGGACAGUAUGUUUGGGCAUGGUGGCAGAGGGUCAGUAGCAGGAGUGAGAAGAGCUUAGAAAUAUAAGCAGAUCAGCCAGGCGCGGUGGCUCAUGCCUGUAAUCCCAGCACUUUGGGAGGCCUAAGUGGGCGGAUCACAAGGUCAGGAGAUCGAGAUCAUCCUGGUUAACACGGUGAAACCCUGUCUCUACUAAAAAUAUAAAAAAUUAGCCAGGCGUGGUGGCGAGCGCCUGUAGUUCCCGCUACUCGGGAGGCUGAGGCAGGAGAAUGGCGUGAACCCGGGAGGCGGAGCUUGCAGUGAGCCGAGAUCGCGCCACUGCACUCCAUCCCGCCUGGGCGACAGAACAAGAGU